CAUAGUCAAAUGUCCCUGGAAAGAAUGUGAACAACCAACUCAAAAUGACCUGAGCUUCCACCAUUUGAUCCUAUGGGCCCUCGGAUGUCCUGAAUUGCAGAAUCAUGACCUGGAAGGGACCAAAAAAACCACAGACUCCAACCUCUGGGUUCAAGGUACUCCCCUGAUGAAGAGCUUGUGAUGUGCUGAAAGCCCCCCUGAAUACUUUUCAGUACAAAACAGAUUUCUUCUCCUGUUCAAACUGCUUUGUGCUGCAUUUGGAUUCAUGGCUUGGCUAUCUUCAUUUGGGCAAACCCAUGCCACUCAGCAGCCUGUUUCUAGUGUUGACAAUUUGUGCUGCCCCAAAGCAGGUUUUCAGACAUUCUGCCUUCAGAAAAUGCUCUCCACUUCAAUUUGGUCUGUUCUGGAAUUGCUCCACGGAUUGUCAGCCCAAGGAUCCCUUCACAUUGCAGAGAAUUUAGGGGAAUGUUCCAGGUCAAGAUGGUGGCAACAUUUGGAAGUGGGAAUUGGAAUACAAACUCCCACAGUUAAGCCCAGUUUCUAAAGGACUCUGCCACACCUGCCAUUGCAUUCCAGUGUCUUUCCCUGUAGCUACAGGGCUGCUGCCUCUCCAUCCCAAUACCUUUCCCAAGCAAAUUUAUGUGAAAUAGAGACAACUGGUGUCAGUGGUAGCCGCAUUGAUCUCAUCAUUAAGCUGUGGGCAUUUGCAAACAUUCUUGGAAGUAUCAUCUUCUGCUGGGGUGCAUGGAACAUGGUUUCCUGCGCUUCCUGCUGGGAGGCAGAGGAAAUUACAAACUAUACCAAGUGUGGUCAAGAUCAGGCUACUGCAAUGAAGAAAGAAUGGAAAAAACAAAUGUUAAGGAUGACCUUUCCUUCUAACAGUGGUAGCUGUGGUUUGUACAAUUGGUUAUUCCACACUUCUGCUCAAUAUUGCAGUGCCAUAUGUUAUUCAUAGCUAAAAGGACUAAUCAACAGAAAAUAUUUAAUCACUUAACAGCACCUGAGAUAUUUUUUCCUCUCCAUGGGCCAUAAUCCUGCCAAAAAUUCACAAUUUGGCUGCACGCACACACCAUUUUAUUCCAGAAUUAAUGGAAACUGAGUUCUUGUCCUCUUGUUCUAGGUAGUUCUUUUCUACCAAG